AUUUUUUCCGGGGCCAUUCUUACCGUACACCUAAUUUGGUAGGUGCACCUGUUGUGAGUUCCAGUGAUCGGCACUUGGAGUGAGAGGCUGUCACCUGAAGAUGUGUGUGUGUGUGUCUUGCCAGGUUUAGUUCAGUUUCGUCAAUUCAAUUGUGCCAACAUUAGCACAUGAUCUGCGGUUCAAGAUGCAUCUAAUCACUUUGUAUAGUGAUGUUUGAAGUCUGUUCUUAAUAGAUUUGUUAACACAGGGGUACGAUAUAGAGCUCCCAUAAUCGAAAUGACACCGAGUAAGAGAAAUAGCUUAAGAGCAUAAGGGAUAGUCUCAAGUGAGUUGAAGAACAAUCGUGGUUUAUCUGGUCUGUAACAUACACCAAUUAAUAUAGGCUUUGUUCUGGGAUUGUCAGUGCACAAAGAUUAAGAAGAUCAUUAUGAAGAUCAUCUCUCCUGAUGUAGAUUCAUUGAGCCAUGAUUCGCUGAUUGCGAUUACGAAAGAUUUAGUUUUCAUUAAAAUAGGACGAAUUUCCUCGAUUUUUGGGAGAAGACUUCUAUUGUUGAGGUGCAAACAAUGCAGCCCCUUGCUAAAAUAUCGGGAUCAUUAGGAGGGUGAGUGUGACUAGUUCAGGUAUGGAUUGAUUAUCAGUAUCAGUAUAAUAGGAAUCGAUGUAGUCAA